rnacentral:lncRNA from 1 species
UUUAUUUUUAUUUUUAUUUUUAUUUUUAUUUUUGUCUCCGUCUCCACUGUAAUUCACUGCCUUGCAUCUUGGUGCAAACUUGCUCUCAGAAGGUUUAAUAUGACUGAAAAACUCAUUUGGUUUUUUUUUUUUUUUUUUUUUUUUUGACACACGCUCUAUGGUUUGUGAUACUGACAUACUACCGAGGUUAUAGAACUUGAGUUUCUUUCUGUAAUUGAUUUGUGUGGCUUUCUCUGAAAUGUUGGACCCUUUCUUCUUAAGUCUGUCUGUAGAAUGAAUAAUAUUACUUUCAGAUCUCACAGGAGAGAUAGGGUGGAGGGCGGACUGUAAGAAGAAACAUAAGCUACUCACAGAGGUGCACUGUUGUAGUGAAGAAUUAUUCCAGAUAAUGCUAUGCAUUAUAGGAAUAACAACUGAAUGAUUAUACAAUAGGACCGUACACCACAUACGUCUUCCUGACAGUAAGUGGUUUAGGAUUAUGAAAUUCUCUUGCCAGAGAAAGUCAUAACAUGGGACACCUGAAGCUAAGGAGAGCAGACUCAUAAAGGUAGGGCACAGAUGCAUUCUGCCACGUUGUCAGCUUGAGCAGUCUGAUGCAUAUCUCCGUCUGUGCCAUCUGUAUUUAGAUGGCCCCAACUCAUGUUUUUAUUUAAUACCAUACUUACCGUGUUUAUUCUAGUCAUCUUGUAGUUAGUAAUGCUGGAGAGCAGAGUCAGAUUAUUUUGGCUGACAAAGUGAUUUAUUAUCAGUUGAAAAUCUAUACUUUUCUUCCCCCUCGGUUUUACUAAUACUUUGGUGAGCUGGUUUUGAGCUUUGCCAUAAUGGGACACUGGGAAUAUAAACCAUGCAAACUCCUUCUUACAUGGCUCAUGAAGCAAACAUUUGGAUUAGUAGAAGUUAUAAAAAAAAAAUAAAAAAUAAAAAGGCAGCGUUAAGGUGAGUUCAUAUUUUUUUGUGCUCCAUCUGCAUUUAUUGGUUCUCUGGGGUUACACACUGUGGAGCAUAAAGGAACAAAAACCCAAAGAGUUCUUGUUUUGUGUUCUACUCCCUUAGGGUUUCAUUCCACUUAUACUUUAUGUUUUCCUACUUCGGAGACCUGGUGAGUCUUGACUAAAUCUAGACAGAGUAGUUCAGUUGAAUUACUUUGUUUCUCUGGGGUUACGCUUACCCUGAUUUGAUACACAGAGUCUGUUAUACAAAGGUAAUAACUGUAGCUGCAAUAUGUUGCCUUGUAAGCAAUUAAUACAAAGUUAAAGGGCCGAUCAUUUCGACUCUUAGAGCUUCAAGUGUAGAGCCCUGUGUUGCUACAGUACUCUGCUUUGUGCUGAAGCUCUCCAGAGAGGGAGAAUUGAAGGGUAAAAUAAAAUAAUAAUUAAAAGAAGAAGAAGAAAAUGUUAAACCACAACACCACAAGAGCAAUCAACCAACCAAGCAUCUUCCCCUGGGGGAGAUGUGAGGGUUGUGGGGAGGGGUGGAAAUAGAAUAGAUAUCUGCAGAGAAGCAUAGACUAUAUCCCUCAAGGACAUAAAGCAAAACCUGAGCCACAACUGUAUGGAAUAUAGCACAACUUAAUGAAAUGUGGACCUACAGCAGGAGAAAGGCCAGGAGACUUUGUAUAGCUUGAAAGUGCUUGCGUAAUAGAAUGCUGAAAGUCACUUCACCCUUAUCUUCUACAUGAUGUCUGAAUACUGGUAUUUGCAUUUCUUUUCCACUCCUUGUUGAGCAUGUUUUCUAACUUGGGAGAUUCGGUGCUUUGCCUAAUUAGAAUACCUCAAAACAUACCUAAUAUAUGUGCCAAGCUGGAAAUUCUAAUUGCCUCCUCCCAUUAUAUCCAUAGGAAGGAACGUUCCCUUUAGUUCUGAACUCAGCACUGAAUGUCCACCAGAUUCUACACGUGUUUACUUACAUAGGUACAAUGGCUAUUAUAAAUCUUUAUGGUUUUCAAUCUUUGAGGGGAUUUAGUCAGUGGUUGCUAUCCAGUGACUGCAGAGGUCUCUGUUAACACCGUGUGUUGUGUUUUGACCUCGGGUGCAGCUUGGCAAGAGGGGAAGACUUAGGUAUAUGGAUUCUCUUCUCCUCACUCCCCUGAGCAGAGCCAUCUUUUUGAGCACAGCACCAACCAGCAGGGCUUUGACUCCUCUUUCUGUGCAAUACAGGUGGACCUGUGGACACGGCAGACUUAAUACAUUCUUUUCUUCAGGGGGGAAAUAAAAAAUAAAUAAAUAUCAAGAGAACUCAGAGUCAGAUUAUUACUCUGAAGGCCAUGCGUCAGCACAAACCAUUGAUCCUCCACAGCAAAUUAUGGUGCUAGAAUGAAUUGCUGAGAAUCAGGAGGGCAGUUUCAGAAACUGGAAUUAUGAAUGUUGACUCUAAAUAUAACUAUUUAUUUCCUUUAUCUGGGGCCUUUGGCAAACUGCCACAGAAUUGAGCUGUGACUUUUCAGAGUGGUCCCAAGGUUGGGAGCUACUUUAUUAGCAUUACUCUGUUUCACUGCUGGGAGAAGCUUCCUCAAAAUGUCACAUGGGAAGUUUUUUGGCACAGUGUAGGGAAGAGGAAGUGAUGUCGUGUUUCUGGUGAUGAAUUUUUAUGCUGUCACCAUGAUUUCUUUUUAUCCUGGUGAAAUUUGGCUUUUCUGGCAGAAAUAAAGCUUUCAUGGUUAUGCUUUAUGUAAUUAUGUAUAUAAUUUCUGUUGGUUUGUGAAUAAAUUACACAAUUUUUGCCAUG